AUGUCGUCUUUGGUCAUGGCUAUAGCUUAUGAGAAGAAUGGGAUUUAUGCUUUGGCAGACUGCCCCGUGGUUAGCAAGUCAUUAUUGCCGCCUCCGCUUCCCAAGUUGCCUCGGCUUGCUGUUGGUGUGUGCUGCUUCUGCAGCUCCUGCCGGCCGCCUCUUAGGUUGGGUUUUGCAGCCACUACUGAAGUUUCCAUUGCCAAGGCAAGGCGUUGUCGUCUUACUUGCAAGGCACACAUUGCACUGCGGGCAACAUUUUGCUAUGCAUGGCCACUCAUGUCAAAGCUGGGUUCCAGUUUGACGACCUCUCUACCAAGUAUCCAUGUUCUUCUUCCCUGUACUUUCUUCAUCUGCUGUUAUACUCUCUUGCAAGUACGGCUUAUCCAGUUUGAUGUCAUGUUGCUUCGGCAGUUGUGUAUUAACCCCUAG
rnacentral:rRNA from 1 species